rnacentral:snRNA from 1 species
CUACUUCAGUAUGAAGUAGGCCAUCAGGGAGGUGGUUUUCCCUAGGCAAGGCCUAUCCCCUGCACUCUGGGUGUGCUGACCCUUGUGAAUUCCCCAAAUGUGGGAAAUAAGACUGCAUAAUUUGUGGUAGUGGGGGACUGCAUUUGUGCUCCUCCCUG